rnacentral:lncRNA from 1 species
AACCCUUCCUGCGCCGCUGCCUACCCGGGAGGGAACGAGGCCCGGCGCAAAGUUUGGUGGCUGGGCGCCGCCCGGCCAUGCGCCUGCCCAGAAGGCUGGGCAUCCGUGGAGAGGGAAAGCCCAUUUUAUCCCUCUCUUUACAACGAGGUAAAAUAAGUUGUUUAGAGGCCAUUCUUCACGGAGACCGGCUGCCCGCUGGCGUCGCGUGCCCUUGGACAGAGCGAGCGCCUAUGCGAGAUAACUCCGGGGAAGCUCAAAGUCAGGUCAGCCGGGCUCAGCCUUCCGGCUCCUGACUGGCCGGAGUUUGGCCUUUGAGACUCAUAUUGCGCGCUCGCUCUCUCUCUCUCUUACACACACACACACAAACACACACACACUCACACUCACCCGUCCCCUUACGAAAUCUGACCUCUGUUUAUCAGGGUCAGGCGCGCCCUUUGCACUUUUACGUUUCCUUUAAUUAUUUCGGACUUGAUCGUGGCAGGGAGCAAGGGGGAAAAACAAUACCCCAGCCCUCACCAGCUACCCUCGAAGGGUUAAAUUUUAAACCGCGGUUUCUGGAACUAGUCCGGAAACGCAGAGUGGGGGGUGGGGUGGGGGAGGCUGCUCCCCCCACCCCCAGUUGCAAAUGCUAAUAAGUAGUUCAAAUUUCUAGAUUGAUUCUCUAAAAGUUUAUGCAAAAAAGAAAUAAAAAAGAAAAAGAAAAAAGAAGGAAACCAACAACUAACUCUGUUUCUAAGAUUUUAAAGCGAUAGGCAAGUCGAAGAAGCAGAGAUUUAUUUGGAGAGAAAGCUCCUGAAACCGACCCAGCCUUUGGAAGACCAGCCCGUCUGCUUAGAAGUUGGGACUGUUGAUUCCUUCAAUUAAUGAAAUGCAUUUGGUGUUUUUAAUCGUAUUUAUUUUACUUUAUGAGAAGGGGGAGACGCUAGGAGGGUGCAUUAAAAAAAAAAAAAAAUUCUGAAAAGCCUGCAAAAGGAUCGAAGAGUGGAAACUAUUGUUGGAGCGAGUUGGUUUUUACCUCAACAGCGCCACCUUUCGGCAAAGGUUUCUUCCUUGGAAAACAAUAUACAUCACUUAAUGAAAUCUUUGUUUGUUUUGCACAAGAGAUGUAAAAAAUCCAGAUGUUUUCUUCAGUGAGAAUUCCUGGGAAGGUGUACCAGCCUUCUUCUCUUUCUUCACCUGACAAAGACACCCAACACGGCCUCUCAGACCGGAGGUGUUUAAUAUAUAGUUUUGACACGCAUGAACAUGGGAAUGAAAGGGCUCCUUUUGGUUUUAGACAAUAGACAGAGCUAUAAAAUGAUGAUGGAGCCUGUUUUCCCCACUCUUGUCAUUUUAAGUCAAUAGAUUUCCUGGGUUUCUUCCCCCGCCCCCCCACUUUGCCUUUUCAGGGGAUAGGCAUCUCCUUAGAUUUUUGUUUUUCUUCACUUAGGGUCAGCUUUAUGAUUCGUUCUUCUGCUGUCAUCCUUUUUCAUCCUAUUCACAGCCUGUACCGGUGAGGGAAUUUGUCUCAAAAGCAUUCAGCCCUUCAAAGAUUUUUAUUGUGGUGAACUCAGAACUGAUAAACAGAAAAACAGAAACAGAAAAAGGGAACUGAUAUGGGGGCGAUCUUGAUGCGGGUUGUGUCUCUCAUGCAUGAUAACUCAGAGGACAGGCUCCUCGGUAGUGCGGUAGUGCUAACUCUGUGAAGUUUCUUCACCCUCCUUCCUAGCCCUGGAGGCGGGGUGAUUCAUAGCUCCUGUUCCAAAGGCAUUCAGCAGCCAUUCGACCUGGGAAAGAAACAGAGUUUUAGAAAAUACAGGCCAAAUGUAGAGACGCCUGUGAUUACCAGGAUGAGUAUGUCAGUGCAGGUGGCUUCUGAAUUUCUGUUUCUGAGUUUGUUUGGCUGAUGCCUAAGGAAAGGGGUCCCUUACAGCCCUGUUUUAUACCUUAGUUCUUGGUGGCAACGUGGGUGUUGCUGAUCUCUCUGAUGUGUUUUUCUGUGCACUGAAAACACCAGACAUGCUCCGUGACAUCCUCGGAGCAUCUCCCAUCAUAAUGGAGUGUUCCUAACCUGACAAAGAAUAGCAUAUUACCUCCCCAUCUACUCAAAAUAAAAUUAUAGUAAAAUUUAUCGCCCUUCUGCUAAUAUUUUUUAUUUAGUAACUUUAUAACAGUGAUACAUACUCCUUAUUAAAUAUAAACAUUUGAACAGGACAGAAAUAGAAGGAUAUUCAAUAAAAGAACUGCUACUCCUCAUCUCCACCCCAGUCCUUAAACCCUGGUCUCGGGGGUUACCAUCUGUAAUAGUUGGGGUAUAUGUGGGUACUUUUUACAGAAUGGCAUCGAAGCAUGUACAUAGUUCUUUAACUUGUGCUCCCUUUAAAACACAUUCAUGUUAACAAUCUCAGAAAGAGAUGUUGGGCACUUCUGUCUUCUUUGGCAGAACUCGCCUAAUGGAACCUCAGACCGGGGGAAGUUUGGAGAUCUGAUCUUAACCUCGUCCUUCCAACCGGUAUAGGAGCUUGAAUCUGCUUUAGAUCACCAACUUCCCUGCCAUUUCCUGACGCCAAUUUUGAAGCCAGGGGGCUCAGAGGCAUUUUCUUCAACAGAAGAGUUCAGAGUUUCAGUGUCCACCUUUGAGCUGCAACUAGUCCCUCAGUGGUGUAAAUAUGCAUGCUGCUGCAGAAUCUCCUGUUCCAGGAUCCCACCUCGACCCCUUUCAGAGAAAUCUGGGAAUGAGAGAAGGAACCGGCCCAGGAGUGAUUUAUGACCUGCUGUCUGUGUCCUGCCUGAGGAAGCAUGGCUCUGGCUGUUUGAAGCAGACCCAGACUGGGAUCCUCAGAGAUUGGAAGGAGUGAUGGGGACCCUUCAGGAAAAUGUCACCGACCGUUGACUCUCAGCUCAGCUCGAAGCUGCUGAUGAGGGGGUAGGCUUGGUUGCUGUCACAGUGAUGUGAGCUCAGGCAGUUGGGGUUGGGGAAGAGGGACCAGCCAGGAGACAAAGCAUCUGAGUUCAGC